rnacentral:rRNA from 1 species
GACGAACGCUGGCGGCGUGCUUAACACAUGCAAGUCGAGCGAACAGAUGAGAAGCUUGCUUCUCUGAUGUUAGCGGCGGACGGGUGAGUAACACGUGGGUAACCUACCUAUAAGACUGGGAUAACCCCGGGAAACCGGGGCUAAUACCGGAUAAUAUUUUGAACCGCAUGGUUCAAUAGUGAAAGACGGUUUCGGCUGUCACUUAUAGAUGGACCCGCGCCGUAUUAGCUAGUUGGUAAGGUAACGGCUUACCAAGGCGACGAUACGUAGCCGACCUGAGAGGGUGAUCGGCCACACUGGAACUGAGACACGGUCCAGACUCCUACGGGAGGCAGCAGUAGGGAAUCUUCCGCAAUGGGCGAAAGCCUGACGGAGCAACGCCGCGUGAGUGAUGAAGGUCUUCGGAUCGUAAAACUCUGUCGUUAGGGAAGAACAAAUUUGUUAGUAACUGAACAAGUCUUGACGGUACCUAACCAGAAAGCCACGGCUAACUACGUGCCAGCCGCCGCCGUAA